rnacentral:misc_RNA from 1 species
UAACAAAACAGACGACCGCUGAAUGCAAAGUUCAACUUUUGAGAUGAGAACGCCAAGAAACAAAAGCAGAAACAUUGUCUAUAAUGAUUUUAUUUUUAUUUACAAGCCACUUCCACAAGUCAUUGGACCAGAAACACUCAACGAAAACCUCCGAAUCUAGAAGAAACUGUAACACUUAGUCAUGUAAGUUCGGCAAAUUCAAAAAGUUAAAAACUUUGAAGAUAUCAUUAGUGACUGCGUUUUGAGACAACCACCAUCAUAACCAUGACAGCCAAAGCCAUGAAAGAUGCUCCAAGUGUCUUCUCCACCGCGCCAAAUUUAGCAGUUCCAUCAGCAUCAACAAAAAACUUGUUGCCUCCAAAGAGAUUGUUAAAGAAAUCUGACAAGCUGUCCAUCAUAUCAACCACCGUUUGUGUCACUGUUUGGGUAACAUUCUGCAAAAAGCUUGUAAAAGUGUUCCCGGAUUUAGACUCUUCCGCCUUAGAUUCAGGAACCGCCUUCAAUGGGGAUGAUUCAGAAAAGUAAUCAGUAUUAGCAACAGAUUCAUCUCUCUCUUGAUCCGAGUCUGGGAAUGAUGCACCUGCAACUAUGGGAAUGUGGUAAGAAGCUUGAUCAUUAUGAGAGAUUCGAGGAAAAUCAAGGACAUACAUUUCUCACUGGAUCUUUGUGACUCAAGGAAAUCUUGAAGGGCUGGAUUUUGCAGUACUGCAUUCCACACAUUUGGGUCACAAGCAAUUGAAGCAACGACGUUCUGAGCAGCAGGAAUUUCACUCAGAACCCUAUAUGCCUGCACAGCAUGUUUUGGCACAGACUUUGUGACUAUAGUCUCGCUGACAACACAGGCUUUGGAGACGGGCGAUGAGCUUGAGCCAGAUAUACAAGAUCCCCCAUUUCCAUUAGCAGAUCCAGACAAAUAUACCAGAGCAUCUUUGAGAUCAGAAGUAGCCUCUGUAGCUUCCUGAAGAGAAGGAGCUCCACCAAAUACGAGUCGAGGCAGCGGUUCACCAGGAUUAACCAUCAUUUCCUCCUCUCCGCCGGCCAUCUCCCAGUCAUCAAAAUCAGAAACCAUCUUAGGCACAUGCGACACAUCCAAUGAUCCACCGUGAGAAGCCGUAACCAUACCAGACUUCACAUCUUCCGACGUUGACGAUAAACCUGAGAUCGACACCGGACGAGCGACGUUGCGUGCGGCUGCAUAGAGUGGAUGCUCCGCCGUCACCGAGCGGAAUCCGCUGUUCACAGCGGCGGCUCCGGCGACCUUCGCCGCUGCUCUAAAUGCUCCACCGCCACCCAUAAUUUUCGUAAUUAUCUAUUCGAAUUCGACGAAUGAGG